rnacentral:rRNA from 1 species
CUACGGGGCGCACCAGUGGGGAAUAUUGCACAAUGGGGGAAACCCUGAUGCAGCAACACCGCGUGGAGGAUGACGCAUUUCGGUGUGUAAACUCCUUUUAUAUAGGAAGAUAAUGACGGUACUAUAUGAAUAAGCACCGGCUAACUCCGUGCCAGCAGCCGCGGUAAUACGGAGGGUGCAAGCGUUACUCGGAAUCACUGGGCGUAAAGCGCGCGCAGGCGGCCCCUUAAGUUGGAUGUGAAAGCCUACGGCUUAACCGUAGAACUGCAUCCAAAACUGAGGGGCUAGAGUCUGGGAGGGGAAGAUGGAAUUAGUUGUGUAGGGGUAAAAUCCGUAGAGAUAACUAGGAAUACCAAAAGCGAAGGCGAUCUUCUGGAACAGUACUGACGCUGAGGCGCGAAAGCGUGGGGAGCAAACAGGAUUAGAUACCCCCGUAGUC